CAUCAGCAGCAGGGUGCUCUUGCCAAACAUUUUUCCCCAACACCCAGACUGCUCCAGAGCCUAAGAAGCUUUUCUCUGCCCUCAGGAUGAAGAGGUGUUAGGGAGAAGGAGAAGACCCAUACCUGAGCCAUAGGGAGCAGCAAUGCCACCAUACCUCAGCAAAGUGAGCUGAGCAGGUCAGUUUGGCUGAUAACUGUGCAGGUCAUCAUGCACAAAGAGUACUUUGUGCGUGAUGAUGCUUUACGACCAGCUUGUGCAGCGGUGGUCACUUCAGGAGGCUGAAAUAAAACAAGUUAUUGGCAAAUACGUGUGCAUGCCAGCCAGGGAGGGUUGUGUGCUUCGAUGGAGAAAAAUGUGAACGUUGUCUUCUGCUGAGGUUGGCGAUGGGUACACCUUUCACGAGGAAACAGCUACAGGAGGUGAGCGGCAAUGACUGUUCAAUAGUGCUAUGCUGCCCUCAAGUGUUGCUUUUCAGCAAUAUCCAAAUUUUCAGUCAGCCUGCACUAAGUUGCAUUUUCCAAGUUUUGUGGUUGUGCUCC